GAUGAACACUGGCGGCGUGCCUAAUACAUGCAAGUCGAACGCAUCCCGUUAAAUGAAGUGCUUGCACGGAUUUUAACAUUGGAUGAGUGGCGAACUGGUGAGUAACACGUGGGUAACCUGCCCGGAAGCAGGGGAUAACACUUGGAAACAGGUGCUAAUACCGUAUAACAACAAAAACCGCAUGGUUUUUGUUUGAAAGGUGGUUUCGGCUAUCACUUCUGGAUGGACCCGCGGCGUAUUAGCUAGUUGGUGGAGUAAUGGUUCACCAAGGCAAUGAUUCGUAGCCGACCUGAGAGGGUAAUCGGCCACAUUGGGACUGAGACACGGCCCAAACUCCUACGGGAGGCAGCAGUAGGGAAUCUUCCACAAUGGACGAAAGUCUGAUGGAGCAACGCCGCGUGAGUGAAGAAGGUUUUCGGAUCGUAAAACUCUGUUGUUGAAGAAGAGCACGUUUGAGAGUAACUGUUCAGACGUUGACGGUAUUCAACCAGAAAGCCACGGCUAACUACGUGCCAGCAGCCGCAGUAA
rnacentral:rRNA from 1 species